rnacentral:lncRNA from 1 species
CUUUGUUAAAACUGAUAUUCUGCCCAUCCAGCUAUCUUGUGAUUAGCAUCACAGCUGCUGUGCCAUUCAUUUAGUGAAUCUAACUAUAAUAAUCUGAGGUGACUCCUGUUUAGCUUCCUCAGUUGAAGUCUCUGGUGCCUUUGAGAUGCAUAUUACUAUUUGCUGAAUUGGUUACAGUGGGAAGAAAACUCCCACUGAAGAUUCAAAGUGCAACACCUGGGAAAAGAAGAAACACUUAUCCAUUUGUUUGGAAUAAACCUCAAACCUGGUAGAGGUCAGCACUUUAGCCUGAAGAUCUGAAAACCUGACCUUUAAUUACUGUAGUGAUGUAGUUCAAAUAAUGAGAACUUGAGAGUGUAACUGAGAAGCAGCUAGAAAAGUAGUGAGCAGGAUGCCUGUUGCCUGUCGAAGGACUGCCAGAUGUGUGAAUAGGACACCAUAGAAGACACAGGUAUUGUAUGCAGGAGAAGGUGCAGGCCAGAACACUGAAGAACUGUAGUAUGAACUGAACACAGUGCUGCUGACUGGAGCUUGUGUUACCUUCUGCAUGGAUGAAGUAAUUAAUCACUCUAAAAAUAGACAGUGGGGGGUUAUAACUAAUAAAAGAAUGUGUGGUAUACUAUAUGAGGAAGAAAGUGUAACUUGGGCUCUUUGAAUUUCAGGUACUGGACUCUAGGAGUCCCUUCCGCUCAUUUGUAGAGAACAUAGUGCUGCUUAUCUGCUGUGAUCGAUCCAGUUUCGAAUUGACUCGAGCUUCAUACUGGCCCAGGAUGAAGGAAGUACUUCCUGAAGAAUAUAGGAAUGGAAAUGACUUUGAGGGUCUAAGAUUGUCCAAGAAGAUAAGCCAGCUGGACUGUACACAAUGCAACACUGCUCUAAAGUCAACAGCAAGUCUCUUCUGGACUCGUCUGAAAGCAAAAUUUCACCCAGAGAGAAGAGAACAGAUUUUGGGAUGCUCCUUUUCAUUUCUUCAUUCUGAAAUAGCUGGGCUGGAAAUAGAAAGGACAGACAAAACCUAUUAACUGUACUGAGGAAGAUUCAUGGUGUCUAGAUACUUUCUAUCCAUUAUUAUGCUGGCAGUUUCAAAGAGGUGUCAAUUUUCUGUGCCAAAAUACGGGACUAGAACUACAAAUCCUGUUUUGGAUUCAUGAGAAGAGAAACUAUUUAUUUGUGAUUCAUGAUGAAAAUAUACCUUAUAUACGAGUAUAAAAGUAGCCAGUUUUGUGUUGCAUAUAAAAUAUGCCUUAUAAACAUCUCUUACAUUAAAUGGCUUAUUGUUCUCAUGCUUUACAUGCAGG